GGGGAAGCUCUGGCCUUACAUGGUUGCCUAUCCUUGUCCCAGGGUGAAUUUUGGGGUGUCCUGACCCUUCCCCCCCCAAUAAUUCUGGGGUUCUCUGGCCCCCUUUUCCUCCCCCCAGGGUCGUGACCCCACUGGAGCACCGGCCACGCCCGCGGGGGCUGGGGUUGGGGGCUGAGGCUGCCCCCCCGGGCGCCCCCAAACCCGGGGAGCCCUCCCAGGGGGGCCCGGCCGUGGGGGACCCCGUGCGCAUUGAGGCCGGGCCCCACCGCGGCGUGGAGGGCAAGGUGGAGGCGCUGGACCCUGAGACCGGGCGAGCCCUGGUGCGGCUCCAGCUUGGGGGGCAGGUGGUGGCUGUGAACCAGCACGGGCUGAGCCCAGUCAGCACUGGUGCCUGUGGCCGCCCCCUCCUGAAGGGGUCGGAGGAACAGGGCGGGGAGCCCCCGCGGGGAGGGUCCAAGCGGAAGGAGCCCCCCGAGAAUGAGAGGUGAGGAGGGCUGGGGGGGCUUUGGGGGGAGGGCACCCCGGGGUCUCAUUCUGG